CGGUGGCGGUAAAGAAAUCAAUUUCUUCUUCUGCUGGAUCCAUCAAUUCAAAGGUGAAAGCGCUUUCUUUGAAUGAUGGUGAGAGUCUUGUCGACGUAGUUCGUAAUCGGAAAAAACAACCACUCAUCGUGGAAUGUCUGAAGAAGGACGAAAGACUUAUAGUAGACAAGCUUGUGGCUAAAGCUUUCUAUUCAGCUGGUAUUCCAUUCAAUGUCCGAAAUAAUAUUGACUUUCAGGUAUUUUUCAUUUCAAUACAAUUUCUGAUAAUUAAUGUGAAUAUUUAGAUUUUCAGAAAUUAAUUCCAAUUUUCUGAAUUUAGGUUAUGUUAGAAGCUGUUGGUCGAUAUGGAUGGGGUUAUGUUC
rnacentral:lncRNA from 1 species